CCCUUAGAGUUUGAUCCUGGCUCAGAUUGAACGCUGGCGGCAUGCCUUACACAUGCAAGUCGAACGCGAAAGCGGGGCAACCCGCAAGUAGAGUGGCGAACGGGUGAGUAAUACAUCGGAACGUACCCAGUAGCGGGGGAUAACCUCUCGAAAGAGAGGCUAAUACCGCAUACGACCUACGGGUGAAAGCGGGGGACCGCAAGGCCUCGCACUAUUGGAGCGGCCGAUGUCGGAUUAGCUAGUUGGCGGGGUAACGGCCCACCAAGGCGACGAUCCGUAGCUGGUCUGAGAGGACGACCAGCCACACUGGAACUGAGACACGGUCCAGACUCCUACGGGAGGCAGCAGUGGGGAAUUUUGGACAAUGGGCGCAAGCCUGAUCCAGCCAUGCCGCGUGAGUGAAGAAGGCCUUCGGGUUGUAAAGCUCUUUCGGCUGGGACGAAAAGGUCCGUGACAACACCACGGAUCCAUGACGGUACCAGCAGAAGAAGCACCGGCUAACUACGUGCCAGCAGCCGCGGUAAUACGUAGGGUGCAGGCGUUAAUCGGAAUUACUGGGCGUAAAGCGUGCGCAGGCGGUCUGCUAAGAGAGAUGUGAAAUCCCCGGGGCUUAACCUGGGAACUGCGUUUCUAACUGGCA
rnacentral:rRNA from 1 species